AUUGAACGCUGGCGGCAGGCCUAACACAUGCAAGUCGAACGAGUGGCGGACGGGUGAGUAAUGUCUGGGAAACUGCCUGAUGGAGGGGGAUAACUCCUGGAAACGGUAGCUAAUACCGCAUACCAUCGGAUGUGCCCAGAUGGGAUUCGCUAGUAGGUGGGGUAAAGGCUCACCUAGGCGACGAUCCCUAGCUGGUCUGAGAGGAUGACCAGCCACACGGGAAUUGAGACACGGUCCAGACUCCUACGGGGGGCAGCAGUGGGGAAUAUUGCACAAUGGGCGCAAGCCUGAUGCAGCCAUGCCGCGUGUAUGAAGAAGGCCUUCGGGUUGUAAAGUACUUUCAGCGGGGAGGCGUUACCCGCAGAAGAAGCACCGGCUAACUCCGUGCCAGCAGCCGCGGUAUAC
rnacentral:rRNA from 1 species